rnacentral:lncRNA from 1 species
UGUAAGAACAUAACGGUUUUUAUUUUAAUUAUUAGUAAAAACCCACAUUAAGUAUGGUCCAUAGGUUUUAGGAGUUAUGGUUUUAGAGCAUCUCAAUUUUUUAAUGGUCAUUAUUUGGGUGGUAAUGGCUCAUGAUUUCUUGAUGGUAGAAUCAAGCAUAUAAAGCAGCCUUUGGUCCCUAAGCUCUCUCUCAAUUCACUAUUCAGAAAAUAUACACCAUCUAUAUAGUUGAGAGUAAGAGCAUGGAAGACUAAAAGAGCCUCAACAACUUCAAGCAAGAUCAAUCCUCAACAGGAACAAGCUUUAAGCAAUAGCAAUGGCAAGAGGUAUUUCAGCUAUUUAAAUUCAAUUUAGUUUCCGCUGUUUAAGGUUGAAUUUCAUUUAUGAAUUUGUAGAAAUUCU